GAUGAACGCUAGCGGCAGGCCUAACACAUGCAAGUCGAGGGGGAGGUUACUUUCGGGUAACUGAGACCGGCGUACGGGUGCGUAACGCGUAUACAAUCUGCCUUUCACUGGGGGAUAGCCCGAAGAAAUUUGGAUUAAUACCCCAUAGUAUAGUAAUACGGCAUCGUGAUGCUAUUAAAGCUUUGGUGGUGAAAGAUGAGUAUGCGUUCUAUUAGCUAGUUGGAGAGGUAACGGCUCCCCAAGGCGAUGAUAGAUAGGGGUUCUGAGAGGGAUGUCCCCCACACUGGUACUGAGAUACGGCCCAGACUGAGACGGGAGGCAGCAGUGAGGAAGAGUGGACAAUGGUCGGAAGACUGAUCCAGCCAUGCCGCGUGCAGGAUGAAGGUGUUAUGGAUUGUAAACUGCUUUUGUAAGGGACGAAUAAGGGCUACGAGUAGUUUGAUGACGGUACCUUACGAAUAAGCAUCGGCUAACUCCGUG
rnacentral:rRNA from 1 species